CUGCCCUGAAACUUACUGAGUAGACCUGGUUGGCCUCAAACUCACAGAAAUCUACCUGUCUCUGCCUCCUGAGAACUGGAAAUAAAGACUGUGCCAGCAUGCUCAGCUCGUUAUUCUACUCUGAAGAGGAAGGUGUGUCCUCGCCCUUCCCCCACCCUGCCCAGUCUCCUAGCAUGUGUCACGUGCCAUCCCUGUCAGCCGUCUGUCCAUGUGUCUCACUCCCUACCCCUCUGUUCAGGAGCAGCCUUUCCUAACAGUCUGUAGAUAGGCCUUCUCUGGGUCCUAUACAUCAAGAGAGGAACGAAGAAACCUCCAUUGCCUCUGAGUGACAGAAAACAGAGUGAAAUAUAAGACCUGGAAGGUGAGAGUCGGCCAUCCUGAAAUCUAACCCCGUCAUUACAGAUCCGGGACUGCUUCUCCUCAGUUGUUUGGUUUUUCUCA